GCACCCGUAGCUCAAUUGGAUAGAGUACUCGGCUACGAACCGAGCGGUUAGAGGUUCGACUCCUCUCGGGUGCGCCA
rnacentral:tRNA from 1 species